AUGUACCGUCAUUGGUACGAGUCUUUCUUGCCCAAAUCACGCGAUGGUGACUCGGGCAAGUCACCUCUUCUGCACUCCUACACCGAGGUGUUCAGCGGCUUCGCCGCAAAGCUCACUGCCCGGGAGCUCAAUGCAGUCGCGAAGAAUCCGGGGUUCGUGCGCGCGUUUAGGGACCAAACACGGUACCUCAUGACCACACACAUUCCAAAGUUCCUUGGGCUCAGGAACGGCACCGGCAUCUGGAGCGACGCUAGCUACGGGAAGGGAGUCAUCAUUGGGUUGCUCGAUAGCGGCAUCUACGCGGAUCACCCUUCAUUUGAUGGUGACAACAUCGCGCCGCCCCCGGCAAGGUGGAAGGGAUCAUGCAUGGAGACCCGGUGCAACAGCAAGCUCAUCGGUGCACAGUCAUUCCUCGAAGAAGAUGAUGACCCUAGCGACCAACAGGGGCAUGGGACGCACACCUCAUCCACGGCAGCCGGUAACUUCGUCAGCGACGCGUCGUAUCAUGGUAUGGGAGCGGGCACCGCAUCAGGAGUUGCUCCUGGUGCCCACAUCGCCAUGUACAAGGUGUGCGCUGAUGGAGAAUGUAAUGAUUCCGCCAUAGUGGCCGGCCUCGACGCAGCCAUCAAGGAUGGGGUGGACGUGCUCUCACUCUCCAUUGGCCAUCUUGGCAGCCUCAGGUUCGAUAAAGCACCAUCGCCAUCAGCACAUUCAGUGCCAUAUCAAAGGGCAUCGUCGUGGUUUGCACGGGUGGUAACGAAGGACCCGAUUCACAUUCAGUAA
rnacentral:rRNA from 1 species